rnacentral:rRNA from 1 species
AUUGAACGCUGGCGGCAGGCCUAACACAUGCAAGUCGAACGAGUGGCGGACGGGUGAGUAAUGUCUGGGAAACUGCCCGAUGGAGGGGGAUAACUACUGGAAACGGUAGCUAAUACCGCAUACCAUCGGAUGUGCCCAGAUGGGAUUAGCUUGUAGGUGAGGUAACGGCUCACCUAGGCGACGAUCCCUAGCUGGUCUGAGAGGAUGACCAGCCCCCCUGGAACUGGGACACGGUCCAGCCUCCUACGGGAAGCAGCAGUGGGGAAUAUUGCACAAGUGGCGCCAGCCUGAUGCAGCCAUGCCGCGUGUAUGAAGAAGGCCUUCGGGUUGUAAAGUACUUUCAGCGGGGAGGCGUUACCCGCAGAAGAAGCACCGGCUAACUCCGUGCCAGCAGCCGCGGUAAUUC